rnacentral:lncRNA from 1 species
CAAAGCCUUACUAAAUUAUGCAGAGUAUUAAGGAUAAAAGAUGGAGUACAAUGGUUCAAAAAUUGGUGAGCUAGCUCAAAAUUCCCUCUGCUGGCUUGAAAUGAAGUCUCUCUAAUUCUGAAUGUGCUUUGACUGCAUAAGACCAUAACUAAAUGCUUCACUUUAGGGAGUCAAAUUAUUCUAGAAUUCGAGUGAUUUCUUUUCUUUUUUUUUGCCGGCAAUAUCCUGUACGGAAUCUGUGACCCAGACCCACUUAAUACUGUCAAAGCCAGGCUUUUUGGUCCAGUCAGAACCUGUCCAACCAAAAAAAAUACCAACACAAAAGUUCAAAAAAAAAAUACAAAAGUUUAAAAGAAAAAGGAUAUUCAAAUUAAGGUCGAUAUUAACUAGGUCAAACGUCCUUAACAUCUUCACCUCAACCACCGGCUGUUUCCAAUUGCUCUAUGAAACCUAAAAGAAGAAUAAAAACGACUACUACUUUAUGAAACUUAAAAUAAGAAGACAUAUACUAGAAUGUUAAAAUCGUGAAUUAGUUAUUUAACCAAAAAAAGAAAAACGAAAUUAAAUUGACUACCAACAAUCCCCUAAUUUUACAUGAUUGGCUUCCUAUUUAACGACCCAAAAAAGUCGUAGGGAGGACANNNNNNNNNNNNNNNNNNNNUAAAAUUUCUACUAUAUGAGGUUGUUUUGAUGUCCAAAUAUUCUCAAAUUGAUUAUCUUGACAUCAAGAUACAUGGACAUGAGAAAAAAAAUGGAUUUCAAGUUUUGGAAAUAAUGUAUCUAGUAGCAGUUAAUGAUAAAUGUUGAUGUUUUUUUACAUCAAAUGAAUGUUCCAUGUAUAAAAUAAAAGUAUAGAAGUGUUCAAAAUUAAUGGGUACAAUGAUAAAUUACUUCAUAGGGGUGAACACUCAAACAUAACCUCUAUAUAAAAAAAAAAAAAAUAUAUAUAUAUAUAUAUAUAUAUAUAUUCUAUGUCAGGAUUUGGGUUUAGAACAACGUGCUAGCAGCACAUCAACCAUCCCAUGUCCGAUACGGACGGUUGAUGUCUUGCAAAGGCUUGUAGCAUAAUGUUUGAAAUCCAUAUCAAAGCAUUGUGCAAUUUUCAAAAAAACAGGAAAAUAUAUUAGUUUCAGAGGAAAGGUCAUAUUUGGUAUUUCACAAAAAUUUGAGGUGGUACUGUUAUGUUCAUCACAUGGCAGAACGAGGCUCGUUUUAGAGAGAGAGAAGAGAGAGAAAGUCGUUGAUUUAGAGAGAGAGAGAGAGACAACUCGUUUUGGAGAGAGAGAGAGAGAGAGACAACAUACGAAGCCAGUGAGACAGUGUAGUUCGUUAUUAGGUUUACCAGCUGGUCUGAGAGAGAGAGAGGGAGAGAGAGAGAAUGGCCAUGGCUUUGAACCUCUCUCCAUCUCACUCUGCAAUUCCAAGCUUUCACAGCUUCUCAUCAAAUGGCGUCUCCUCACCUCUCCUCUCUCUUCGCAUCGCCUCCUUUCCAUCUGGCCACCACGUUUCUUUGCUCCACCUCUCAAAUUGCAGGCCAAAACCUCUGAUUCAGGUUAAGGCGCAAGCUCAUUCCCCCUCUUCAGAUGGAGGCGAUGGAAACAAAAGCGGUGGCUUUGGUGGAGGAGGAGAUGGAGGAAGUGGGGGUGAUGGUGGUGAUGGAGAUGCUGGUGAGAGAAACAGAAAGGAAGCGAUCCUUGCUUUGGUUAAUCUUGGCAGAUCAAUAGAGAGCUUACCUAAAGAUUUGGCAUCUGCUAUCGAGGCAGGUCAUAUACCUGGUUCUAUUGUGUAUAGAUUCGCAGAGCUCGAGAAAUCGCCCAUUUUUAGGUGGUUGC